rnacentral:tRNA from 2 species
CCCCCCGUAGCUCAGCGGGAGAGCGGCCGGCUGUAGACCGGCAGGUCCCGGGUUCAACCCCCGGCGGGGGGA